UGAGUGCUGAGUGGCCUGUGACUGGCUGAGUGGCCCAUGACUGGGCCUCCUAUCCGCUGCUGUGGCGGCCCACAACCAGCCCACAAACCUGUCUCUUCCCAGUCUGCAGCAGCCUCAAGGAAGCCGCUCCUGACCUCGCAGCGGUCCAUCUGCGCUCAGACCCAGAUGGUGGCAGAGCUAUGACCAGGCCUGCAGGCGCCACGCCAAGUGGGGGUCAGUCAUGGAACAGCCACAGGAGGAGACCCCUGAGGCCCGGGAAGAGGAGAAAGAGGAAGUGGCCACGGGUGAUGGAGCCCCAGAGCUCAACGGGGGACCAGAGCACACCCUU
rnacentral:lncRNA from 1 species